rnacentral:rRNA from 1 species
AUUGAACGCUGGCGGCAGGCUUAACACAUGCAAGUCGAGCGGGGGAAGUUGCUUCGGUAACUGACCUAGCGGCGGACGGGUGAGUAAUGCUUAGGAAUCUGCCUAUUAGUGGGGGACAACAUCUCGAAAGGGAUGCUAAUACCGCAUACGUCCUACGGGAGAAAGCAGGGGAUCUUCGGACCUUGCGCUAAUAGAUGAGCCUAAGUCGGAUUAGCUAGUUGGUGGGGUAAAGGCCUACCAAGGCGACGAUCUGUAGCGGGUCUGAGAGGAUGAUCCGCCACACUGGGACUGAGACACGGCCCAGACUCCUACGGGAGGCAGCAGUGGGGAAUAUUGGACAAUGGGGGGAACCCUGAUCCAGCCAUGCCGCGUGUGUGAAGAAGGCCUUUUGGUUGUAAAGCACUUUAAGCGAGGAGGAGGCUACUCUAGUUAAUACCUAGGGAUAGUGGACGUUACUCGCAGAAUAAGCACCGGCUAACUCUGUGCCAGCAGCCGCGGUAAUACAGAGGGUGCAAGCGUUAAUCGGAUUUACUGGGCGUAAAGCGCGCGUAGGUGGCCAAUUAAGUCAAAUGUGAAAUCCCCGAGCUUAACUUGGGAAUUGCAUUCGAUACUGGUUGGCUAGAGUAUGGGAGAGGAUGGUAGAAUUCCAGGUGUAGCGGUGAAAUGCGUAUAGAUCUGGAGGAAUACCGAUGGCGAAGGCAGCCAUCUGGCCUAAUACUGACACUGAGGGGCGAAAGCAUGUGGAGCAAACAUG